rnacentral:rRNA from 1 species
UACGUAGGGGGCGGGCGUUGUCCGGAAUUAUUGGGCGUAAAGAGCUUGUAGGCGGUUUGUCGCGUCUGCCGUGAAAAUCCGGGGCUCAACCCCGGACUUGCGGUGGGUACGGGCAGACUAGAGUGUGGUAGGGGAGACUGGAAUUCCUGGUGUAGCGGUGAAAUGCGCAGAUAUCAGGAGGAACACCGAUGGCGAAGGCAGGUCUCUGGGCCACUACUGACGCUGAGAAGCGAAAGCGUGGGGAGCGAACAGG